UUUUGCCUACGGGAGGCAGCAGUGAGGAAUAUUGGUCAAUGGUCGGGAGACUGAACCAGCCAAGCCGCGUGAGGGAUGAAGGUACAGAGUAUCGUAAACCUCUUUUGUCAGGGAACAAAGGCGGGGACGUGUCCCCGGAUGAGUGUACCUGAAGAAAAAGCAUCGGCUAACUCCGUGCCAGCAGCCGCGGUAAUACGGAGGAUGCGAGCGUUAUCCGGAUUUAUUGGGUUUAAAGGGUGCGUAGGCGGUCCGGAAAGUCAGAGGUAAA
rnacentral:rRNA from 1 species